GAUAAUUGAGACAUGUUGGACUGUGGACUUUGCUUGCUUGCCAUCGUGCUCAUUCGCACACGCUUGUGAGGGUAGCUCCCUACAAGCCGGCAUUCCGGAGUUGGCCUAUGCGACAGUUGCUCGUCCGUGCGGGAUUGGGUGCCGAAGUGGAUUGCCGUGGGGAGUGUAUACUACCACGGGGCCAUUAGGCGCGGCGCAAGCCGGACUACCUUGGGUAGGUCCU
rnacentral:lncRNA from 1 species